rnacentral:rRNA from 1 species
GAAUUUUGGACAAUGGGCGGAAGCCUGAUCCAGCCAUGCCGCGUGCAGGAUGAAGGCCUUCGGGUUGUAAACCACUUUUGUACGGAACGAAAAGCUUCGGGUUAAUACCCGGAAGUGCUGACGGUACCGUAAGAAUAAGCACCGGCUAACUACGUGCCAGCCGCCGCGGUAAUACGUAGGGUGCAAGCGUUAAUCGGAAUUACGGGGCGUAAAGCGUGCGCAGGCGGUUUGGUAAGACGGAGGUGAAAUCCCAGGGCUUAACCUGGGAACUGCCUUUGUGACUGCAAGGCUAGAGUACGUCAGAGGGGGGUAGAAUUCCGCGUGUAGCAGUGAAAUGCGUAGAGAUGCGGAGGAACACCGAUGGCGAAGGCAGCCCCCUGGGCUAGUACUGACGCUCAUGCACGAAAGCGUGGGGAGCAAACUG